GCCUCGGUAGCUCAGCGGUCAGAGCGCUUGCUUUGUAAGCAAGAUGUCGAGGGUUCAAAUCCCUCUCGAGGCU
rnacentral:tRNA from 1 species